rnacentral:rRNA from 1 species
GACGAACGCUGGCGGCGUGCCUAAUACAUGCAAGUAGAACGCUGAAGGAGGAGCUUGCUCUUCUGGAUGAGUUGCGAACGGGUGAGUAACGCGUAGGUAACCUGCCUGGUAGCGGGGGAUAACCAUUGGAAACGAUAGCUAAUACCGCAUAAGAGUAGAUGUUGCAUGACAUUUGCUUAAAAGGUGCAAUUGCAUCACUACCAGAUGGACCUGCGUUGUAUUAGCUAGUUGGUGGGGUAACGGCUCACCAAGGCGACGAUACAUAGCCGACCUGAGAGGGUGAUCGGCCACACUGGGACUGAGACACGGCCCAGACUCCUACGGGAGGCAGCAGUAGGGGAUCUUCGGCAAUGGACGGAAGUCUGACCGAGCAACGCCGCGUGAGUGAAGAAGGUUUUCGGAUCGUAAAGCUCUGUUGUAAGAGAAGAACGAGUGUGAGAGUGGAAAGUUCACACUGUGACGGUAUCUUACCAGAAAGGGACGGCUAACUACGUG